rnacentral:rRNA from 1 species
CAGGAUUAGAUACCCUGGUAGUCCACGCUGUAAACGAUGAUUACUAGUUGUUUGCGAUAGACUGCAAGUGACACAGCGAAAGCGUUAAGUAAUCCACCUGGGGAGUACGCCGGCAACGGUGAAACUCAAAGGAAUUGACGGGGGCCCGCACAAGCGGAGGAACAUGUGGUUUAAUUCGAUGAUACGCGAGGAACCUUACCCGGGUUUGAACGCAUAGGGACAGCAGGUGAAAGUCUGUUUCCAGCAAUGGCCCUUUGCGAGGUGCUGCAUGGUUGUCGUCAGCUCGUGCCGUGAGGUGUCGGCUUAAGUGCCAUAACGAGCGCAACCCCUACACUUAGUUACCAGCACGUUAUGGUGGGGACUCUAGGUGGACUGCCUGCGUAAGCAGCGAGGAAGGUGGGGAUGACGUCAAAUCAGCACGGCCCUUACGUCCAGGGCGACACACGUGCUACAAUGGCAGGUACAGAGGGCAGCUACAUAGUGAUAUGAUGCUAAUCUCAAAAACCUGUCUCAGUUCGGAUUGGAGUCUGCAACCCGACUCCAUGAAGUUGGAUUCGCUAGUAAUCGCAGAUCAGCCAUGCUGCGGUGAAUACGUUCCCGGGCCUUGUACACACCGCCCGUCAAGCCAUGGGAGUUAAUGGUGCCUGAAGCACGUACCUGUGAGGGGCGUUMUAGGGCAAAAUUAGUGACUGGGGYUAAGUCGUAACAAGGUAGCCGUA